rnacentral:rRNA from 1 species
UACGUAGGCAGCGAGCGUUGUUCGGAGUUACUGGGCGUAAAGGGUGUGUAGGCGGUUGCUUAAGUUUGGUGUGAAAUCUCCCGGCUCAACUGGGAGGGUGCGCCGAAUACUGAGUGACUCGAGUGCGGGAGAGGAGAGUGGAAUUCCUAGUGUAGCGGUGAAAUGCGUAGAUAUCAGGAGGAACACCGGUGGUGUAGACGGCUCUCUGGACCGUAACUGACGCUGAGACACGAAAGCGUGGGUAGCAAACAGG